rnacentral:lncRNA from 1 species
CUUGUUUCCCAAUCCAGGUGUCAGCAAAGGGGCAUGACCUCUACUUCUGCAGUCAAAAUUCCAAAGUUCCAAUUGUCUUCACGGCACUCUUUUUGCAGGAUGUCGGGUAAGUAAUUCCAUCUACCUCCUAGGCCCAAGUUUUUCAUGUCUCAAAUGGGAAGAAUAGUGGAAUCCUCCUUUGUUGUUCUGAUGACUUAGGCUAGGCAGUGAAUCAUGGAGAGUACCCAGCAAAAUACCCGGUGCCUAGGACACACUCAGUAGUUAUCAGUGUCUAUGAAGAAGGAGAUGGGCCUCCCAUAGUGCUUUGCAGCAAUUUCAUCUGUUGCCUAAUUGUUGUAUUGAUAUGUUUUCAAUGUUUCAACAGAUAGUAUCACUUCUCCAGAUUUUCUAGCUUGGCUAGAGUCAGCGACCAGGAGGAUGGUGUUCAGAGAAAGGCUUGGAUGACACCAGAAGUAGGAAUGCAAGUAGCCUUUGCCUCCAGUGGAGGGACCUGGGGAACAGCUGCUUCUCAGAUGCUUCCUUCCAGCUAGGAAAAGCAAUGCUGGGUGUACAGCAUCCUCUGAUCAGAAGCUCAUGCUCUCUGCCCCAGGAUUGCUGCCUUCUGUGAAUCCCCAGGAGGAGCCUGCUACAUGCUGUGUUGCCACUCCACAGACCAUGAUUUUGUCUGGUGAGGUAGGAAGCACGCUGAACUCCAGAAAAUGUGCUGUGAUAAAAAGAGCACAAAAGAAAAACUGAACAACUUGAAGUAACUUUGAAGAAAAGUAUGUCUAUCCGUAUACUUUUGGUUUAUUUCUUCACGUUUUGCUACAAUGGAAAAUUUCAACUACAUGUGUGUAGACUGAAUUAUGUAUAAUGAGUUGCCACACAUACAUCACUGGCUUCAAAGGAUUUCCAACUCAUGGCUAAUUGUAUAUAACUUGUCUUUCACUUACCUACAUACUGUUUUGAAGAAAAUGUCAAACAUAAUUUAAUUUCAUUUGUAAAUAUGUUAAUCAUUAUCCCUAAAGAUAUUAGCAACAGCAUACCUAAAUUAGUAGUGAUAAUGAUAUCACCUAAAUAUCAUUAAAUACCUAAGCAUUGUUUACAUUUCCACUAGUCCCAUAAAAAUUAUGGUUUCCUAC